GUUUCCUGGUUUGUGUAUCGCCCUCAACAAUGACACGUUCAGGAACCAAAAGAAAACAUUUUGGUUGAUUUAAUUCUUCGAGGUUUAUUAGGAACUUGAGUUUGUCGCUUGUCGUGAAAAUCUGCACGAAAGCCCAAACACGAGACGAAAGAAACCCCUCCUUUCCUACAUUUAAUUGAGGCAGUAGAGGGGGAGGGUCGAGCUCAGUCUCGCUCUUUCCGAACGGUUCCGAUCUCGGCCGAUGUCCUGCCCCGGCGGCAGUGCUGCUGCGGUUUCGCUGCGUGUCCCUCUCGCGUCUCCAUCGUCCAUCUCCGACACUAUUUCCAUCAUGGUGGACGUUUUGUUGUUAAUGUUUUUCGCCAUCGUCGGCCUCGUCUUCCUUUCCUAUAUCAUCUACUUGCUGUGACGAUGAUGAUGAAGACGAUGAAGCGUCCCGCUGAGCCUGCACACAGGAUGUGUGCUUUUCCUCUCCUGCAUCCCUGGUUUCCAUCAUGGACAACGGGAGGAGAGCCAGGGUCCUGCCAUGAUGGUCGGCUCCUCUGCGGGAGAUGAAGAGCAAUCCAGCUGAGGGGAAAACAAAUGGACAAGAAGUGGAAGCCAAACUCUUCCUUCUUCUUUGUCUCCUAAUUGCACUCUGUCAAUCCGCCCCCCCCCUUAUCCUUCUUUAUUUGUUCAGAAUCCUCUAACAAAAUGUCACUACUCUAAGAGCUCCCACUUAUUUAUUUGCAAUCAGUCUAAACUGUGUAUUGUCUAUGCUCCUCAAGAUUGUGCAUGUUUCUCUUUAAAGGAGGAGAAAUCUUCCCUCUGCACAAGUGUAAUAGAUCCGUAGACAUUCGAUGCUGGGUGGUUUUGUAGGUGUAAGCGCAAUACGGGUGUGUAAUAGCCUUUUUAACAACACUGAGCUAGUUUUUGGCUCUGGCUACGAUGUGUAAUGUGUCAUCCUUAUGACUGUGUGGCCAACCCUUCUGUACUCGUGUUUUGUUUAUCAAACAGUUGGAGAGCUUCAGCCUUUUAAAUGUCAGAGAUGGUUGGCUUGGUUUGAUUGGUUGGCUCAGCCUUGACAUCUGUGUUAUUAUAUUACUUUAUUCACGUGUUGCCAGUAUGUUGGCAAUGUUCUCCUCACUACAAUCAAGAUUCCCCGUCAGGUUAAGGGGGAAUGUGUCAGUUAUAUAGUGUUCUACACUUUAACAGUAUUGCUUGUCUGUUUUAUAUUUUGGC